ensembl:lncRNA
AGACUGUCUCCUCCUAAAGGGAUAGUCAGUCCCCUUUGCCUCCCACACUCCCCCCAGCAAGCAGGAUUUCUCAACUUCCUGCUUAUGCAAACCCUUGAGCAGUGCCAGCUCCUCAACCAAGAGACUCUCCACUCUGUUUGCCACUGAGGCCAAAGGCUGUGAUGGUUUGGCCCGCUCCCAACUCCCUCCUGAGGCCAGAAAACACCUUUGCUGUUCCCAGUUGGGGAGACUAAAGCACAAAUGAACAGCCAGCCCAGUGAUGACUCUGCCACUGAAGCAAGGUGAUAGUUCACGGGGAUGUAGGUUCCAUCUCCGGUCAGGAAACUAAGAUCCCACAUGGAGAAGCUACUGAGACCUCAGGCCACAACCAGAGAGUCUACGCCCCGCAAUGAAAAAGAUACUGCAUUAUUCAAGGAAGAUCUCACAUGCCACAACUAAUACCCAAUGACAUCAAAUAAAUAAAAUGAUCAUAGCUGUGUUAGGAUACCAGAAAAGGGCAAUUCUUUGCAUUUUCUUGUGUUUUCCAAAUUUUUGAUGUCAUACACCGUCAUAUACAUCUAUAAUUUUAAAAUAAAUUGUAAAAAUAUAUCAGCCCAUUAUUCACCUAGCUUCCAGCCCAAAUUAAAUAAGUCACAUAUAUCUCCCCAAAUUAAUAUUAUCAAAAUGAGAGAAUUAUGUUUAAAAAAGUUC